rnacentral:sRNA from 1 species
GGAAAAAAUGCUGUUGUUGAGGCAAGGCCUGGGAGGCCCUGGGAGUUUGCUGCCUGAAUCUCCAGAGCUUGCGCAGCGGAUCCUGCAAAUGUUCACUGCCCAGAGCAUGUGUUCCCCACUGUGCACACCCUCCCAGCCAGGUGCGGGGGCCCACUGCUCUGGGCUCCCCCAGGGAGGGAGCAGAGUCUCACCAAGUGCUCCUGGAGGGAUGGGAGUGGAGCCUGGCAUUCUGAACACAUCUCUGAGGGGUGGGAUAAAUAAGACGGUCUCUGUGCCUCCUGCUCCCAGAUCCUGACUGCUGUCAUGGCGUGCCCUCUGGAGAAGGCCCUGGAUGUGAUGGUGUCCACCUUCCACAAGUACUCGGGCAAAGAGGGUGACAAGUUCAAGCUCAACAAGUCAGAGCUAAAGGAGCUGCUGACCCGGGAGCUGCCCAGCUUCUUGGGGAAAAGGACAGAUGAAGCUGCUUUCCAGAAGCUGAUGAGCAACUUGGACAGCAACAGGGACAACGAGGUGGACUUCCAAGAGUACUGUGUCUUCCUGUCCUGCAUCGCCAUGAUGUGUAACGAAUUCUUUGAAGGCUUCCCAGAUAAGCAGCCCAGGAAGAAAUGAAAGCUCCUCUGAUGUGGUUGGGGGGUCUGCCAGCUGGGGUCUUCCCUGUCGCCAGUGGGCACAUUUUUUUUUCCACCUGGCUCCUUCAGACACGCGCUUGAUGCUGAGCAAGUUCAAUAAAGAUUCUUGGAAGUUUUGAGGCUGA